AAGAUGGAGUCUCACUCUGCUGCCCAGGCUGCAGUGCAAUGGCAUGAUCUUGGCUCACUGCAACCUCUGCCUCCCGGGUUCAAGCUAUUCUCCCCCACCUCAGUCUCCCAAGUAGCUGGGACUACAGGUGCAUGCCACCACAACUAUUUUUUUUAUUUUUUAGUAGAGACAGGGUUUCACCAUGUUGGCCAGGCUGGUCUCGAACUCCUGAUCUCAAGUGAUCCACCCGCCUCAGCUUCCCAAAGUGCUGGGAUUACAGGCAUGAGCCACCAUGCCAGGCCACAUGAAUUUUUUUCAAUAAAUAUAUUGAAAAAUGUUUUGGAAAUGUGCAAUAAUUUGAAAAAACUCGCAGAUAAACUGUCUAGCCUAGAAAUAUCAAAAAAAAUUAAGAAAAAUGUAUGUCUUUAAGUGCAUAAAAUAUAUGUAGACACCAAUCUAUUUAUGUGUGAAGCAACUGUUUAUGUUAUUGGUAAGGCCUCUGGAUAACAGCAGGCCAUUAGUAGUUAAGUUUUGGGGGAGUCAAAAGUUAUAUGUGGAUUUUUCAACUGCACAGGGCAGAUGUCAGCAUUGCUAUUGUGUUCAAAGCUGUUUUCAGUGUUGUCCAAAGGUCAACUUGUAUAUGUACACAUUUAUAUAUCUUCCUACUCAGAAAUCAGAGACACAUUUACUUCUAUAUUUUCCCCAAUCUUUUAUGGAUUUUUUUACAUAAGCACCAUAAUAAAUGUUAACUAAUUUUGUUGUACUGAAUAUAGUUAUAAUUUCUUUCCAAAUAGUUAAUAACUGUUCCAGCCCAAGAAUGGUCUAUUCUUAAACCACGAAUGUGAAGUAUCACCUUUACUUAUUUGUGGGUGCUUGGUUUUGUUCCUGACCUUGCAAUUCCAUUCCACAGAUCUACCAAUACCUCUUUAUUGUCCUCUUUAUUGUAACUUUAUACAGAUUUUAAUUUUACAGUUGCAAGAACCCCUCAUUAUUUUUUGCUGAAAUGUCUUUGCUAUGCUCUUAAUAAUCAGCAUUUUAGAUAUGAUUUAGACAUUGUAUCAAGUUUUUUUAAAAAAGCCUGUAAUUUUGAUUUGAAUUGCUUUCAAUUUAUAAAUGAAGUAGAAAAAUACUGGGUUAACUAUCAACUGUUUCCCCAUUUUUAUUAUUUAUGAUUUGUAAUUUUCUUCAGAGAAGUUGUACAUUUAUUAAAUUUAUUCCUUAUUAUAUUACAUUCUUAGUACUAUUAUUAAGAAAAUUUUUUACUUUUCAAGUAACUGCUGAAAUAUAAAAAGGCUAUUUAUAUAUUUACACUUUACUGAUAGCAAUAAUUUUUCAAGUCAUCUUUUAAAAUAUUACCUACAAAUACAGAAAAUUUUGCUUCCUCCUAUCUAAAAGCACUGCCUUUUUCCCCUUCUGUGUUAAUAUAUUUUUAACAGUUUUAUUGAGGUAUAAUUUACAUAACACAAAAUUCACCUAAAUGUACAAUUCAAUAAUUUUUAGUAAAAAAAUCUAGUGGCCCGGCACGGUGGUUCAUGCCUGAAAUCCCAGCACUUUGGGAGGCCGAGGCGGGCGGAUCACGAGGUCAGGAGAUUGAGACCAUCCUGGCUAACAUGGUGAAACCCUGUCUCUGCUAAAAAUACAAAAAUUAGCCGGGUAUGGUGGCAUAUGCCUGUAGUCCCAGCUACUCAGGAGGCUGAGGCAGGAGAAUCCCUUGAACCCGGAAGGUGGAGGUUGCAGCGAGCCGAGAUCGCACCACUGCACUCCAGGUUCACGCCAUUUUCCUGCCUCAGCCUCCCAAGUAGCCGGGAUUACAGAUGUGCACCACCAUGCCCAGCUAAUUUUCGUAUUUUUAGUGGAGGCGAGGUUUCACCAUGUUGGCCAGGCUGGUCUCAAACUCCCAACCUCAAGAGAUCUGCCUGCCUCAGCCUCCCAAAUCGCUGGGAUUACAGGCAUAAGCCACCACACCUGGCCUUCCAAUGGUUUUCUUAAUUCAUUUGGAUUUUCUACUUGCAAGAUGUUGUGGUUACCCUCCAGAGACAAUAAACUCCCCCACCCAAAAUUUGAAUCAGAUAUUGAAAUGCCAAAGUACCAAGAGGUACUAAGAGGAUACCAAAAGGUUUAUUACACAUAUAAUAAGGCUUUCCAGGGAGAGCAAGGCAAGAUCCCAAGCAUGUCCCAAAAUGACUUGAGAACCUGAAGGCUGACUGACUGGCUUGUGGUUUUAGAAGGUGGGGCUAGAGCAAGAGCUCCCUCAUGUAGGCCUGAGCUUGCAUGGUUGAAACUUCCUGCUGGUGUCAACCAAGGUAGCACUUGGGCUUUCUUAUCAGCUUGUCAAGAUGUGGGGCAAAAAGGAAAGGGAGACUUCCAGUUUCUGGUAUGGCAUGUGAGAAGUUUAGAGUUUAUCACUUAUUCCUAACAACAAGUAAAAAGCUAAACAAAUGGAAAAACUGACAACUCUUCUUAGAUCCACCAAAGAAGUGAGAUCAUGGGUAAACUGCUGCCCUCAAAAUAGGAGAGACAGACAGAUAAAUACAGAGAAUCACACCUUAUUAGAGCAGAAACCCACGAGCAGAAGCCUCCAUGGAAACCAGUACCAGAGUAGGAAACCUUGACUAUAAAUGAUAAAUUGCUGGAAGUUCAGUGUAGAAAAGUCUAAGACCUAAAAACUGUAGGGGAGCCAAUCAUAGAGGGUCCCCACACUCCAGGAGCUCUACCAAGUUCUCCCAGUAAAGAUCUGAGAAAAAUCCCCUCAGGCUUCUGGCAAGGGGGAAGAAAAGUAACCAUUUUGAAAUAUGCCAGAACAUUCCGUU
rnacentral:lncRNA from 1 species